CCCCCCCCCCUGAGCAAAAUGGGGCCGUGGGGUUCAGGAUCAGGUGUGGACAAGAAGAGACUCUGUGCCCCAGAGAAGACAUACACUACAAAACUGAGGCCCUACCUCCAGCAAAUCUUCAAAGUGAAAAUCCACUCACAGCUGAGCCUGAAAUGGAAAACAUUCUAGGAAGAAGUUGUACCUGCUGCCACUCUGCCUUUGCUGUUUUGUUUCCCCAAGAGGAUGAGAAAACAACCCUUUACUGAACAGCACCAUAUUCCAAAAGCUUUUGGCUCCUGAAGACACAUCAGUGUACAUUCCCACAAGUCCCAGACCCUUCCUCUCACUGACAGUCACUGCCCCAGCCCAAGUCAGCUGCAACAAGUGAAGACAGUGCCAUCAAGUCCAAGGCUCUGCAGUGCAGAGAAGGAACCAGAUGAGGAAGAAGACUUCCUGAAGACAAGAGGAAACGUGGGGAUGCCGUGCAUUCAUCAUCUCGAUUCAUUGCUGGCCUGAAACUCCUGGGUGGAGCCAUCCUCCUUCCUCAGCCUCCUGAACAACUGGAUUACUCCUUUUCUUAAAAAAGCGCUUUGAGCAGCAGGUGACAUGGAGCUGUGGUUAAGAGCACUUCCUGCUCUCCCAGAGGACCCAUGUCAGGUGGCUCACUACCACCUGUAACUUCAGGGCCAGAGAAACCAUUGCUCUAUCCUGGCCUCCACAGGUAGCCACACAUGCUCAUAUACACACAUGCACAGGCACACACACAAAUGAAAAUAAGCAGGCAUCUGGGACUCCCUGAUGGUGUGUCUGGAACACUUGCAAAGAUCAUUAUACAAAAUGAGAAAAACCAACAUCCAAAGAGAAGAAGAAGGUAACCAGCAGGCUAUAGUUGAC
rnacentral:lncRNA from 1 species